rnacentral:rRNA from 1 species
CGAACGCUGGCGGCGUGCUUAACACAUGCACGUCGAACGCUGAAGCUUGGUGCUUGCACUGGGUGGAUGAGUGGCGAACGGGUGAGUAAUACGUGAGUAACCUGCCCUUGACUCUGGGAUAAGCCUGGGAAACUGGGUCUAAUACUGGAUACGACAUGCCACUGCAUGGUGGUGUGUGGAAAGGGUUUUACUGGUUUUGGAUGGGCUCACGGCCUAUCAGCUUGUUGGUGGGGUAAUGGCCUACCAAGGCGACGACGGGUAGCCGGCCUGAGAGGGUGACCGGCCACACUGGGACUGAGACACGGCCCAGACUCCUACGGGAGGCAGCAGUGGGGAAUAUUGCACAAUGGGCGGAAGCCUGAUGCAGCGACGCCGCGUGAGGGAUGACGGCCUUCGGGUUGUAAACCUCUUUCAGCACGGAAGAAGCGAGAGUGACGGUACGUGCAGAAGAAGCGCCGGCUAACUACGUG